UUAUAUAUAUAUUGCAAUAGAAAAAUGGAGAAAAUAAGAAUUGAGUAUUUUAUACCAACAAAAAACAAGCUGAAUGAUUAGCAAGAAACCAUAAAUCGAGGUGUGUGGCAAUGUUUUCCAGUCAGGAGGCCGUGGUCUUUGGUGAAGUGUUUGAUGUGGGCGUUAGUAAUUUUUGUGCAAAUCCAUGAGCACAUAGGUUGCUUGGAGGAAGAGAGGGUUGGUCUGUUAUGAGUGAAGGUGUUUCUGAAAUCCAAUGCUGAUAUUGGCGACCGUUUUCCCUCUUGGAUUGAAGACGCAUAUAAGAUGAGCAGUGACUGCUAUGGUUGGGAGCAAGUCUUGUGCAACUCCGCCAUGGCUCAUAUCGUUGGACUCUCCCUCAACCAUAUCAUCGAUACAACUAAUUGGUUACUAAAUGUGUCCCUGUUUUGGCCCUUCAAGGAGCUAACGAGUCUUGAUUUGUCAGGCAAUCAAAUAGGUGGUUGCAUAGAUUACGAAGGUUUGGUUUCUAAUUUGUUGCCCCUACUAGCUCUGCUUUAACUUUCACACUACAACAAUAUGAACCCCACCCGCCCCCUUGCUCUCUCAACAAAGUAAACCAAAAUAAAAUAAAAAAAUGGAGGGUUGCGUUCGUAAUUAGUUGUAGAGAUCACGAGUUAAUUUACACCCAUGCUUUAAAUUAUUAACAAAUCGGUUUAAAUUGAUUCAUCCCUCUCACAAGCUCUAUUUCGCUCGUUUACAGUUAUAUCACAUCCUUUCUUUCCUGUAACAUGCAUGAUAGUUUGUUUAAUUUUGGCUACGAAGUAGUAGUUUUCCUUGUUAUUUCUCAUAUCUUUUUAUAUAAAUGAAGAGUUGGGUGGAAUGGAAUAAACCAAGCAAGAAAGCAAACUUAGUCUGUAGAAAGCGAAAAUCUUAUCAAAAUUAUAUACCAUCAUGAUUAGAAUUUAUUUUGAUUUUGAUUAUCUUGAUUCUUGUUGUCCUUUUAGUUGUUACAUUGUGAUCGAGCAUGCAUGCUUUCAUGAGCUAUGCUAAUGUUGACAUUAGUCAGUCUAGCUUUUGUUUUCAGUAUGCACAUGUUUGAAUCAGAAAUAUGUGCUGGAUCAUGAUCUUGAUCCCUCAAUCGGUACAAUAAUUUCAAACUAGCAUAUGUGUUCAUUCACUGUGUGAUGUAUAAAUGGCUAAUCUAAGCAACUUGGAGGUCUUCAUCUUGCGAGAUAACCUACUUGAUGGAAGAUUACCAAUCCAAGAUUUUAGAUAUGAGUGGAAAUCGCCUCACUUGGAGUAUUUCUCCAUAUAUUGGGGCACUAUCUUUGACGAAGGCUAUAUCGCUAUCUGACAAUAAUUUCAAUGGAGCUUUCCCUACUGAAGAUUUGUGCAAAUUGAAGAAACUUGAAGAGUUGGAUAUUUCUGGCAAUGACUUUGAAGGGAUCCUUCCUCAAUGCAUAAAUAAUAUGUCAUCACUAAGAGUGUUGGAUAUAUUUGGUAACCGUUACAUUGGUAACCAUUUCACAAACAUAUGUUCCGAAUAGGUAUAUCUAUUAUACCUGAUCCCAAAUAAGGCAUAUUUUGGGCUUGGUCCAAUGGUUACACGCCCCUCCACCAUCAAGUUGGUACUGGUUUGAGUCCCAGUAGAUGCUCUUAAGGAUUUAAAAUUUUUCGUUGGACUGUAGUUCCUGCGCCUUGCACUGCUAGGCUGCAUGCCCAGGCCCAUAUAGAGGGAUAGGGAUGUCCAUCCUCUCAUUAAAUCACUAAAAACCCUUUUAUUGACUUGGGUGAACCUUGCCCUUUUGCUCUACCAUGGGCUUCACUUCCACUAAGCCAAUGGAUGGCUUAUGGUAUAUAUAUGACCGAAUUUAUUAUAACCAUAACCCAUAACUUAUUCUUUUUCCAAAAUAAUCCAUGACUUCCAAGUAAAUCCCAAAAAUAAUAUUAAUAAUAAAUAAACUAAAUAAUUAUUUUGAAAAUAUUUCUAAAAUUCAUAUAUUUAAUAUCACAAACUACAAUAAAUAUUGCAAUCCCCCACUUAUGUUGCAUAUUAAAUUUUUAAUCAAAUAUCGAUAUCUUCUUGCAUACAAGAAGGUAAUCUUUUGACUAGUUUGAACCUUCUAUUAUUGCAUGAAGUAUCUCAAAUUUCUAAUAAAGUCAAUAGUGGUCUAGGUUUAAACCAAGACUUUAUACAUUAAGAACGGAAAUAUCACACACAUGAUUCCCACCAAUUUUAACGAGAUAUCUCACCAAUUAGUUUAAACUAAUCUACGUACUCCAUCCUGGCAUUCAUGAACAUUUACAAACAUAAACCUUGAACUUUUGCUAGAAGUUGUCCCCACCUCUUAUAUUCACAUAGAUAAAGUUCCUUUUGUGUCUUUAUUACUUCAAACACUUAUACAACUAUUGAACUUCACUAAGAGCACAAUACUCAUCCUUCAUUUAAUAUAACAGUUAGCACUUACCAUCCUGCAAAGUUUUCUCACAUUACAUUAAAUUUUAGUGCUAUUUCAGCCAUUGAACUGUAACUUGUUAUUAUCCUUUAAAGUUUAGACUAUUUGUUAAUAGUGUAAGGUUAGCUUCCUAUUACAAGUGACUUUUAUAAGAAAACAAACUCAUUCCAUUAGAUGUACUAGUUACAAAAUCUCUGGAGAGUCCCUUUGUGAAAGGAUCUAUCAGAUUUUUACUUGACCGCACAUAUACAAUAGUGAUAAUACUAUUACUUAUUAUUUGCUUGAAAUAUUCAUGCCUUAGACUAAUAUGUCUAAAUUUUCUAUUAUAUAAUUUACUAUAAGUCCUAGAUGUAGUAACUUCACUAUCAAAACGCAAAGAAAUGGCUAACAUCGAUUGUGACCACAACUUUAUAUCAAAUAAUAAAUUCCUCAGUUAUUUUGCCUCUUUACCCAUUGCCACUAAGGUUUCAAAUUCAAAUUCCAUUAUGGGAUGUGAAAUACACAUCUGUUUCUUAGAUGCCCUUGAAACAACUCCACUACCAAGGGUGAAACCAACAAAAUGUAGCCUUGUUAUCACUUGCACUAGUAAUCCAACUAGCACCACAAUAUCCUUCUAGUACAGUAGGAAAGUUGGUAUAAUAUAGUCCUAACAAACUAGUUUUUUUUUUUAAGUUACCCAAGGUCUCUACUAAUUGCUUUCCAAUGAUCCAUACAACGAUUACCCAUAUAUCUAGAAAGUUUGCAUACGAUAAAGGAAAUAUUUGUCCUAGUGCAAUGCAUUGCAUACAUCAAACUACAAAUUGCACUAGCAUAUUCUAGUUAUAAUUUUCCAUGCUACAAAUUCAGAUUCCAUUGUGGGAUGUGAAAUACAUAUCUAUUUCUUAGAAGCCCUUGAAACAACUCCACUACCAAGGGUGAAAAUCCAACUAGACAUAGCCUUAUUAUCACUUGCACUAGUAAUCCAACUAGCAUCACAAUAUCAUUCUAGUACAACAGGAAAGUGGGUAUAAUUUGACCUUCAAUUUUACUGCUAUGUUUACGUUUUGAAUGCACUGUAAUUUUUAAAUAUUACUUUGAUUUUUAUUUCCGUUCAGAUUUGGGAGUUUAUUUUCAUGAACAUGUUUAGCUAAGUUUUCAACUAAGGUAGAGGAUGAAAUCUCAUUGAAGAUUAAUAGUGUUAACAUUGUGUUUCACGUGCCCUUAGGCCGAGCUUUCAGCAAUUCGGAUCUUCGAUCUUAGGCCUACGGACACAAAGAAAACACUAUGAGACGGGUGCUGUGAUGGAGGUUGGGAGUCUCCACUACUUGGGGAUCGUCAUAUACCUUAUUUCUGGGGCCAGACGCCCAUACCUUGCGUCAGGGGAAGUGUCCGCUCAACAAUUCCUUCUGCCAUGCUCCUUUAAUGCGGCAUGGCUCUCUAGGCUGCAACAUUUAAUGAUGCGUGGCUCUCGGUACUAUUUUGCUAGGGGAUGUACGCCAUCAAGAUUCUCCUUUUCACUAUGGUGUGUUUCCCAUGUGUCCAAGAUCAUAGACUGGCUCCCCGCCCCAGGGCUUGGGGCCCUUUGAUUGGGCCGGUGGAUUGUUCAUUCGGCCUAAGCCCCUUGUGAUAUUGGGCUUAGACCCCAGGCCUUUGGCCUGGGGGAAAAUCUACCUUACAGUUAUCCCGCCAAUUCUCAUUGAGCUAUUUCGAUGGAAAUUUCUUCUUUCCUUUC